CCAAGGAAUCGCUCCCACGCUGUCCCUGUUGGGAAGUAGGGUGAAAGGGGAGGGUCCAUGUGAGCUUCUUUUGUUGGCAUCAAUAAAUACCUGUGGAAUUAACAACACUGAAGGAAACUGAGAAAGAAAAGAUGGGGACCAGGUGCCAGAAAGCCGUCUGGCAGUUUCUCAGAUCCUUAGUCAGAAGCAUAGACUCCAGCCCCUCUCCUCCUUCCCACUCACCCAACAGAAAAUCGAGGAUAUGCGUACACAAAGAGCCAUAAGCGUUCACGGCCACCUUGUGUUAUAGUCCUGAACUGGAAACAGCAGCAUCCAUCAACCAAUAGGCAUGUAAACAGAAUCUGGGACAUCUGUGUGUGAAAAUACAGCUGCGGGAUCACCACAUUAGGUGAUAUAGAAAAAAUUUGUCCGAGUGCCGGCAACAACGUAAGACUGUGGAAAUGCAAACUAACCUAUCGCAAUAGGAAGCAGAGCAUCAUCUGCCAAAUAUACCUUGAUAAAGCCAUUCAAAAAUCAUCUUUGAGAAGAAGGCCAUGGCGGCUGUUCACGCAGUGCCUGGGUUGACAUGAGCUAGCAGUCUGAAUACCUGGAGUCACUGCCGCCCUGUGAAAUGUGAUAGGCGUGUUCUGAGACAGCUAACCAAAAAGGUUCAUGGGGCAGGUUUGAUGAAGCAAACACAUAGCGUGUGAUGAAGAUCAAAACCAAGGCUUCGAAAAUUAGGGUUUUCUCUAUUUUUCAACACCAUGGCAUUUCUCUUCACUUAUAACCUGUUUGGAAUUAGAUUGAGACGGAAGAAACAUAAGCAACCAUCGCUCAAAAGUUGGAAACAAACCCAACAUUCAUUAUUCCACGUCUCAUCUAGCGCCUUCACGACUCACGAUACCCGCGCUGAUGACUGAUGGAUCUUGGCUCCGCGUGCUAAAUAAAACC